GGUUGAUGCCAUGCUUCCAAGAAAAGCUUCUAAGCUUCAGGUAACCAGGAACCGUACCCCAAACCGACACAGGUGGUCGGGUAGAGAAUACCAAGGCGCUUGAGAGAACUCGGGUGAAGGAACUGGGCAAAAUGGCACCGUAACUUCGGGAGAAGGUGCGCCGGCUAGGGUGAAGGAUUUACUCCGUAAGCUCUGGCUGGUCGAAGAUACCAGGCCGCUGCGACUGUUUAUUAAAAACACAGCACUCUGCAAACACGAAAGUGGACGUAUAGGGUGUGACGCCUGCCCGGUGCCGGAAGGUUAAUUGAUGGGGUUAGCGCAAGCGAAGCUCUUGAUCGAAGCCCCGGUAAACGGCGGCCGUAACAAUAACGGUCCUAAGGUAGCGAAAUUCCUUGUCGGGUAAGUUCCGACCUGCACGAAUGGCGUAACGAUGGCGGCGCUGUCUCCACCCGAGACUCAGUGAAAUUGAAAUCGCUGUGAAGAUGCAGUGUAUCCGCGGCUAGACGGAAAGACCCCGUGAACCUUUACUGUAGCUUUGCACUGGACUUUGAGCCUGCUUGUGUAGGAUAGGUGGGAGGCUUUGAAGCGUGGACGCCAGUUCGCGUGGAGCCAUCCUUGAAAUACCACCCUGGCAUGCUUGAGGUUCUAACUCUGGUCCGUAAUCCGGAUCGAGGACAGUGUAUGGUGGGCAGUUUGACUGGGGCGGUCUCCUCCUAAAGAGUAACGGAGGAGUACGAAGGUGCGCUCAGACCGGUCGGAAAUCGGUCGCAGAGUAUAAAGGCAAAAGCGCGCUUGACUGCGAGACAGACACGUCGAGCAGGUACGAAAGUAGGUCUUAGUGAUCCGGUGGUUCUGUAUGGAAGGGCCAUCGCUCAACGGAUAAAAGGUACUCCGGGGAUAACAGGCUGAUACCGCCCAAGAGUUCAUAUCGACGGCGGUGUUUGGCACCUCGAUGUCGGCUCAUCACAUCCUGGGGCUGAAGCCGGUCCCAAGGGUAUGGCUGUUCGCCAUUUAAAGUGGUACGCGAGCUGGGUUUAGAACGUCGUGAGACAGUUCGGUCCCUAUCUGCCGUGGACGUUUGAGAUUUGAGAGGGGCUGCUCCUAGUACGAGAGGACCGGAGUGGACGAACCUCUGGUGUUCCGGUUGUCACGCCAGUGGCAUUGCCGGGUAGCUAUGUUCGGAAAAGAUAACCGCUGAAAGCAUCUAAGCGGGAAACUUGCCUCAAGAUGAGAUCUCACUGGGAACUUGAUUCCCCUGAAGGGCCGUCGAAGACUACGACGUUGAUAGGCUGGGUGUGUAAGCGUUGUGAGGCGUUGAGCUAACCAGUACUAAUUGCCCGU
rnacentral:rRNA from 1 species